rnacentral:lncRNA from 1 species
AUACCCUGGGUCUCAGCAUAGAGGAACUCUGACUCGAACUAGAUGACAAUGUUAUUACAAAUUACAGCAAGAAACAGAAGGAUUGCAUAUACUGAUGCUGAUGAACAGCACACAAGCCAACAUCUCAAAAAAAUGAGGUACAGAGAAAGAUAAUUUCCGAACUGAAAGUAUUAAUCAUGGGAUACUGGCUGGCUCACAAAGUUAAAUUAGCCUGUAUUUUAGUUCAUCAAUUUUAAAGAAUGGAGUAAAAUGUAAG